rnacentral:tRNA from 1 species
GUGUGAUUAGCUCAGUUGGUAGAGCAUCUGACUCUUAAUCAGAGGGUCCAGGGUUCGAACCCCUGAUCGCACACCA